rnacentral:rRNA from 1 species
GAAUUCCGUGAAUCAUCGAAUCUUUGAACGCAUAUUGCACUCUUUGGUUCUCCAGAGAGUAUGCCUGUUUGAGUAUCAUUAAUCUCUCUUUCCCCACCAACGGGCGUGUGUGCUUACUCGCGCGCGCUCUGAGGUUGCGGCAAAGGACUUGAGCACUUCUGGCGCACUCUCCAAGCAGCUCGCUUGGGGGAACAUUCGGCGUCCAGUUGCUUGAAAUGAAGCGCGUGCUGUGCUUUGCCACAUUCACGACCGGCGUAUUUAGUUCUCCUCGGAGAUUCACUUUACGCCACCUCAGGUCUGGAUACCCGGCUUACAGUCGCGACAAUAUACUCGACAGAGGAGAGAAGGAGGAGGAGCAGCAGCGCUGCUACCCUUGCCUUGUAGGUGACGGGCAGCUCUUCACCCCCUCCCCCUCCCCUCCCCCUCUACCUUCUGAUCUCAAAUCAGGCAAGACUACCCGCUGAAUUUAA